GACUCGAGCGCCAGCGAGAGAGCGUGGCCGCAGGCAACGACCCGAAGGGCGAAGCGCGCAGCGCUGAGUAAUCCUUCCCCCACCACCA
rnacentral:sRNA from 1 species